rnacentral:rRNA from 1 species
GACGAACGCUGGCGGCGUGCCUAAUACAUGCAAGUAGAACGCUGAAGAGAGGAGCUUGCUCUUCUUGGAUGAGUUGCGAACGGGUGAGUAACGCGUAGGUAACCUGCCUUGUAGCGGGGGAUAACUAUUGGAAACGAUAGCUAAUACCGCAUAACAAUGGAUGACACAUGUCAUUUAUUUGAAAGGGGCAAUUGCUCCACUACAAGAUGGACCUGCGUUGUAUUAGCUAGUAGGUGAGGUAACGGCUCACCUAGGCGACGAUACAUAGCCGACCUGAGAGGGUGAUCGGCCACACUGGGACUGAGACACGGCCCAGACUCCUACGGGAGGCAGCAGUAGGGAAUCUUCGGCAAUGGGGGCAACCCUGACCGAGCAACGCCGCGUGAGUGAAGAAGGUUUUCGGAUCGUAAAGCUCUGUUGUAAGUCAAGAACGAGUGUGAGAGUGGAAAGUUCACACUGUGACGGUAGCUUACCAGAAAGGGACGGCUAACUACGUGCCAGCAGCCGCGGUAAUACGUAGGUCCCGAGCGUUGUCCGGAUUUAUUGGGCGUAAAGCGAGCGCAGGCGGUUUGAUAAGUCUGAAGUUAAAGGCUGUGGCUCAACCAUAGUUCGCUUUGGAAACUGUCAAACUUGAGUGCAGAAGGGGAGAGUGGAAUUCCAUGUGUAGCGGUGAAAUGCGUAGAUAUAUGGAGGAACACCGGUGGCGAAAGCGGCUCUCUGGUCUGUAACUGACGCUGAGGCUCGAAAGCGUGGGGAGCGAACAGGAUUAGAUACCCUGGUAGUCCACGCCGUAAACGAUGAGUGCUAGGUGUUGGAUCCUUUCCGGGAUUCAGUGCCGCAGCUAACGCAUUAAGCACUCCGCCUGGGGAGUACGACCGCAAGGUUGAAACUCAAAGGAAUUGACGGGGGCCCGCACAAGCGGUGGAGCAUGUGGUUUAAUUCGAAGCAACGCGAAGAACCUUACCAGGUCUUGACAUCCCGAUGCUAUUUCUAGAGAUAGAAAGUUACUUCGGUACAUCGGUGACAGGUGGUGCAUGGUUGUCGUCAGCUCGUGUCGUGAGAUGUUGGGUUAAGUCCCGCAACGAGCGCAACCCCUAUUGUUAGUUGCCAUCAUUCAGUUGGGCACUCUAGCGAGACUGCCGGUAAUAAACCGGAGGAAGGUGGGGAUGACGUCAAAUCAUCAUGCCCCUUAUGACCUGGGCUACACACGUGCUACAAUGGUUGGUACAACGAGUUGCGAGUCGGUGACGGCAAGCUAAUCUCUUAAAGCCAAUCUCAGUUCGGAUUGUAGGUCGCAACUCGCCUACAUGAAGUCGGAAUCGCUAGUAAUCGCGGAUCAGCACGCCGCGGUGAAUACGUUCCCGGGCCU